CGGCGGCAUCGCUUGCAAAUGAGGGAGGUGGCCGAGACCAGUCAAGGAGGGUGAGGCGGCGGCGUUGGUGGUCGUGCGGAGUCCGGGAGAGUGGAGAGAAGGUAUCUCUCCUCUUUCAUUUCACAUCAUUGUUUGAGCAAAAGAGAGAGAGAGAGAGAGAGAGAGAUAUGGCGUUGUUUCUAAAUUUCAUCUUCCCGGUGCCGCCGUCGUUGUUCUUAACGGCUAUGAGGUGAUCGGAGCCACGACAUCGGGGUUGGGUGGAAUCUCCAAGGCCAUGGUGAAGAAUAUCCAGUACUCCACGUUCUGGAUCAAAUUCUGGAAAAAUCCAAUCUUUAUUGAAUGAAAUUUUGUUCCAUAGUGGUUCCAAAAUUCUUAUUGAGUUCCUCUCUCCUUCUCCUCCUCCACCAUCCACCUCUCCAAUGGCUUCCAUCUCCGGCUUCUGUUUCUUCUCUUUGAGAACAAAAAGAGUGAAUCUUUGCGAGUUUUAGUGGGUCGUUUGGUGUCUGUGCUAAAGACUACUGAGAAUGAUGGAGGUAGAGAUUUUCAUGGUUCAUGGAGGAAUGAGAGGUUUCUCCAACGGAGAUGAACAUGAGCAUAAGUAAGGGCAUGAGAGGCUGCGAAAGAGGAAAAAAAAGAAAAAGAGUGAAAAAAAACCCAUUUUGAUUCUAUUUUCCCCUAAAUUUUAUCCAAUUUCUUCAUUUCUUUGCUGAAAAUCCUGGAUUUUUUGAUCCAUCUGUUCAUCUACUUCAUUUGAAAGAAAGAUUUGAGGGUUUGGAGAUAGAGAAGGAGAUGAAGAGUAGCCAAAGACCACCUUGAAUGGAGCCAGAGCCGGAGUUGCCCUUGCAAUGAGGAAGUCGGAAGCAGCUCCGAUGUGUGAGAGUGCAAGAUGAGACCAUUCUGGAUAGAUUCGUUGAUCGCAUCCUUGAAAAGGAUCUCCCAUCGUUCAUAUCAUGAGGCCCGACAAGGGCCGCCAUAUACAAGGCCAAGCAGUGAGGGUGGUUAUUUUAAUGCAACUAUGAGCUUCCCUUCUAAUUAUCCCAAUAGCACUCCUACUGUUAGAUUCACAUCGGAGAUGUGGCACCCAAAUGUUUAUCCUGAUGGGUGUGUUUGCAUAUCAAUUCUUCAUGCACUAGGGGAUGACCCAAAUGGGUAUGAGCUUGCAAGUGACCGUUGGACACCUGUUCAUACAGUUGAAAGCAUAGUGUUGAGUAUUAUUUCCAUUCUAUGAAGUCCCAAUGAUGAAUCUCCUGCUAAUAUUGAAGCCUUCUGAGUGGAGCAAUUGCAUUGAGAUAUUAUGAAGAAGUAGGAUUCCUCUUCACAAUUGUUGGGUGGCCUGAAACAAUUGCUAGCCAUCAGGAAAUUAAGGAUAAUGAGGCCUAUUAAAGCUUUUGCUAUGAAUCACAGGCUUGCUGAUUUUCCUCCUGAUGAAUACUAAUGAAGAAUGAACAGAAGACAAUCAAAAGUUCUCCCCAGCCAAGAUAUAUAUUAUUAGUAAAUUACACAAUUUGUUUGGAACUAAGGAAAUAUUGAUGCAUUUAAUUUUUUAAAUAAUCUCGCCUGAAUUUUGAAAUUUUUAGUGAAGAAAAUUCCAGUUUUUCCC